rnacentral:rRNA from 1 species
UACAGAGGUCUCAAGCGUUGUUCGGAUUCAUUGGGCGUAAAGGGUGUGUAGGUGGCGCCGUAAGUCGGGUGUGAAAUUCGAGGCUUAACUCCGAAACUGCAUUCGAUACUGCGGUGCUUGAGGACUGGAGAGGAGACUGGAAUUCAUGGUGUAGCAGUGAAAUGCGUAGAGAUCAUGAGGAAGACCAGUGGCGAAGGCGGGUCUCUGGACAGUUCCUGACACUGAGACACGAAGGCCAGGGGAGCAAACGGG